rnacentral:lncRNA from 1 species
GUCCAGGCCUUCAUCUUUCUUCUGUGCUGGAUGCUUCCCUGCUCUUGAACAUCAAGACUUCAGGUUUUGGGACUCAGACUGAGCCACUGCUGGCUUCCUUGCUCCUCAGCUUGCAGAUGCCUAUUGUGGGACUUCACCUUACAGUCAUACCCGAUGUGAAGCCUGACUGAGCAGAGUGGAGACCAGCAGCUGCACGUCAAGUGGCCUUCCCAGGACUUGACUCCAUAUGCAUGUUCUCGUCCAUGGGCUCAUACCCAGUCCAAAGGACUUUACCCCAGCUCCAUCUUUGCCCAGACACACUUGAGGCUGCAGGGUUUUGGUGACUGUAAAUUGGUCUUGACCCUCUGAGGAAAUGGGGAUGCUGCAGAAGACACUGGCUAAAUUGAUAAAAUGAGAUUUGUAACCACCCUGGGACAGAGCUCCCAGAGGGAGAGACGGGCCACUAUCUUUGCCAUUUAGAUGACUUAGCUGUUCCAGCCUUCAGGCCUCAGAGUAUCUGAGGAACCAGGGGCUGACAUGGACCCCCAGCACAGCACAGCUGCUCUACCAAAACAUGGCCAGACUGUUUCUUUAAGCAGGUCCCUGAUCCCAUUCCUCCUCACUGGGCAGGACCUCCCAAAUGGGGUCUUCAGCCACCUCCUACAGGUGCCUUUGCAUUGGCAACAAGCCUGUACCAUCCUGGGAUGAAGCUUCAGGGAGGGACUGCUGCUAUUUUUGCUGUUUCACAGUCUUCACUGGUGAUACCUCCAGGUACUGGACUAUCUGAGGCAACUAAGGACUGGAGCAGGCCCCCAGAAUACCACAGCAGCCCUACAGAAAAGAGGACAGACUGUUACAUUGGUGCCCAUUCCCAUGUCUCCUCAUCAGGCAGAUUCUCCAAGCCUAGGCCUCCAGCCACCCCCUGCCAGAGCUAUGAAGCCAGUAGCAACUCAGCAACUCCAUGAACAGAGCCUCCAGCGCCAUCUGAAAGCCCCUCUGCCACUGCCUCUGCAGUGGAACUGUCCUUGCCACCCUCAGACUAACAAAGGAGCAAAGGCCCUAAGCGCUUUAUUCACACCUCCAACAAGCUGCAGUCAACCCAAGGAGAGGAGAUCAGUCUGUUUCCCAUGGGUCCCAUACUCCCUCUCCCACUGCUCAUCACCAGGCAGGGAACCCCUGGCAUGGACCCACGGCACAGAUGCUCCACCUUGAGCUGACUGCACUGAGUGGCUGCUGACCUUCAUCUCUCUGGAAUGGAGCCCCCAGGAGACAAGCAAACAACCCUUGGCCACAACCACUAAUAAGAUCCCUUCCUCUGCUGCUUCCAACUUGAGGAAGGAACAUAAACACUGAGAUCACCCCAGAGCUGCAGUGGGCAGCCCAGGAGUCCCAAGUCAUAAUCACAGCCAGCACUCAAGAGGGAGAGGAACCCACACUUUCAGAGCAUUGUGAGAAAACACAGCUGCAACUGUGAGGAAACAUAGGGGAGCCAUACAACUGACCAAUAAGCCUAAGUGCCACCUGCUGGAUCACACCCCAAAGCGUCAACAUAAAUAAUACCUUACUAACAUAUCCGGCCUCUGAAACCAGAGACAAGAAGUCAGUUUCAAAUAAAGACCCCACACAAAGCCUCAGCCCAGGGAAAACAUCCAGAAAAGAAGUCUAUUGACUGUACUUAAUCUACACUGUGGUUAAAGAAACACUCACACACAGAGAUGAGAAAGAAGCAAUGCAAGAACUCCAGUAACUCAAAUGGCCAGAGGGUCAUAUGUCCUCCAAACGACCACACUAGUUCUGCAACAAGAGUUAUGAACCAUGCUGAACUAGCUGAAAUGACAGAAGUAGAAUUCAGAAUACAGAUAGAAACAAAGAUCACUGAAAUUCAGGAGGAUGGCAAAACCCAAUCCAAGGAAAACAAGAGUCACAAUAAAGUGAUACAAGAACCAAAGGACAAAAUAGCUGGUAUAAAAAAGAACCUAACAGGUCUGGCAGAGCUGAAUAACACAACACAAGAAUUUCACAAUGCAAUCACAAGUAUUAACAGUAGAAUAAACCAAGCUGAGGAAAGAAUCUCAGAACUUGAAGACUGGUUCUUUGAAAUAAGAGAGUCAGACAAAAAUAAAGAAAAAUAAAAAAUAAAAAGAAAUGACCAAACCUCCAAGAAGUAUGGGAUUAUGUAAACAGGCUAAAUUUAUGAAUCACUGGCAUCCCUGAAAGGGAGAGGGAGAAAGCAAACAACUUGGAAAACAUACUUCAGGAUAUUGUCCAUGAAAACUUUCUCAACCUUGCUAGAGAAGCCAACACACAAAUUCAGGAAAUACAGAGAACUCUUGCAAGAUUCUACACAAGGAGAUCAUCCCCAAGACACAUAAUCAUCAGAUUUUCCAAGGUUGAAAUGAAAGAAAGAAUGUUAAAGGCACCUAGAGCGAAAAGGCAGGUCACCUACAAAGAGAACCCCAUCAGGCUAACAGCAGACUUCUCAGCACAAGCCAGAAGAGAUUGGGGAUCUAUAUUCAACAUUCUCAAAGAAAAAGUCUUCAACCAAGAAUUUUAUAUCCAGCCAAACUAUGCUUCCUAAGAUCCUUUUCAGAUAAGCAAAUGUUGAGGGAAUUCAUUACGACCAGCUCUGCCUUACAAGAGAUUUUGCAAGGAGCACUAAAUAUAGAAGGAAAGACCACAACCAGCUAAUACAAAAACACACUUAAACACACAGACCAGUGUCACUAUAAAGCAACCACACAAACAAGCCAACAUAAUAACCAGCUAACAGCACAAUGACAGGAUCAAAUCCACAUAUAUCAAUACUAACCUUUAAUGUAAACAGGCUAAAGGCCUCACUUAAAAGACACAGACUAGUAAGCUGGAUAAAAAAGCAAGACCCAAUGGUAUGCUGUCUUCAAGAAGCCCAUCUCACACUUAAUGGCACUCAUAGGCUCAAAAUAAAGGAAUGGAGGAAAAUCUACUAAGCAAAUGGAAAACAGAAAAAAGCAGGAGUUGCAAUCCUAAUUUCAGACAAAGACAUUAAACCAAUGAAGAUAAAAAAAGAAGGGCAUCACAUAAUGGUAAAGGGUUCAAUUCAACAAGAAGACCUAAUUAUCCUAAAUAUAUUUGCAACCAACAGAGAAGCACAUAGAUUAAUAGAGGAAACUCUUAAAGACCUUCAAAGAGACUUAGACUCCCACACAAUAAUAGUGUACUUAAAAACUCUCCAGCCUUUUGUUUCAGCAGAACUGAGUUCAAUCUCUUUCCUCCAUUGCAAUAGUCUUGAAUAGUCUUCCUUGCCUAUUUCAAUCCAAAAAAAAAAAAAAAAAAGAAAGGAGACGACAUUGGGUACAGGGAAAACGUCUUCUGCUACAGAGAAAAAGAAACCAAGAAAUUACGAAUAACAGACAAGGAGAUAACUGAAAAUAUUUGAGAAACUGCUAGAGAUUAGACUACAGGGCCAGGGCUCUUCAAAAGGAGUGAUGAAGACAUCUAGACUCCCCUCCUCAUUUCCACCUCCCUUCCCCCGACCCCCUGGCCAGGGACGGGGUCCCUACCUUUCACAUUUACUGGAGAUGGGAGAUGAGUGGCACUGGGAAUUCACACCCUGAACC